rnacentral:lncRNA from 1 species
AGCCUAACGCCUCCACUGAAGCACCCAUCUGGCAGGCUGGUGUGUCUGUGGGCUGCUGGAGAGUCGUGGAGUCCUGUUUCAGUGGCUCCGUUCCCCCGGUUACCGAGUGAGCCGCACUUCCCCCAGGGUUGGGCUGUCCAGGCAUAGGUGCCAGUUUCAUAACGGCCAGAGGGAGUUCCUAAGUGCCCAAUUUCGGCCUUCAGGGUCUCUCUGUGUACUUGUUGCUACCCUGGAAAUCAGAUCAAGCUGGCCUUGAACUCAUAAAGAGACCCACUGGCCCUCUACCUCCUGGGUACUAGGAUUAAAAUCAUACAUGUCUUUUUGUUUUGUUUUAAGCUAGUCUCUGGUGGUAUAGAUCGGGCUCCUUUCAGCUCUUCCUCUGCCUCCUGAGUGCAUUCAUUAUACUUCUAUUGAACACUGCUACUCUAGAGACAAACAGUACCAGUCUGUAGGCUUUAGAAAAACUGCUUGAAUAAAAACAGGGGGAGACAAGAUAGGUGGGUAGUGCCGAAGAUAAGAGUCCCAGGGCCUAGAACAUGCUAAGUUUGUGCUCUACCAAGCAACUGCUCUUCCAAUAGAGUGAUUUUUCCUUUUUUGAGGCAGGAUCUCUCUUUAGCCUAGGCUGGCCUCAAUUUUUCGGCAAUCCUUCUGCCUCAGAGUCCUGAGAAUGCUUUUGAGCUUGGAAUUGUCCAAGGUUCAGCAAAAGGUACCCCAAGAGUAUUUGUGGUCUGAGGUGGCCGUUCCUGGUUGCCAGCUACGUCUGGGAUGAACUACAAUCCAGAAAUGGAGGGCACACCCAUGAUCCAGAUCUUGAGGCUGGAAAAUACAGGCUUCUGACCUGGAUCUUGAGGCAUAGUGGUCAUGAAAACCUUGAGGCCCAGGCAAGGUAGUGUAUAGUUUUAAUCUCAGGAGACUAAAGCAAGCAGAUCUCUGAAUUCAAAGUCAGCCUGGGGCAAAGCAAGUUCCAGGUCCAGGCGUGGUGGUACACACCUUUAAUCUGGGCCAAGUUGUCUGCUGGAGGCCUAAAUAAGGACAAUGGAAGAAGGGAAAGGCUUUGCAGCUUUACACUCACUUGCCAGGACAUCUGGACCCUACUUACUUCUUCAGGAUUCCAGCUUAGACAGAAGACCAGCUGAAACAACUAGCCUGGUGGGACUGAGCAACUGCUAGAUAUUGGGACUUCCCAUUCACAGCUGCCCAUUGUUGGGUUAGUUGGACAGCAGACUUUGCCAGAGAGAAAAGCAACACACCCAGGGACCACCAGUCAGCAGUGUGGUUGUAAGGCCCACCACUCAGGACCUCUGGGGCUGUGGCACGAAAGGUACUUGUCACUCACAUCUUUUCAUUCAUUUAUUUAUUUUUUGUUUUUGUUUUUUUGAGACAGGGUUUCUCUGUAUAGCCCUGGCUGUCCUGAAACUCACUUUGUAGACCAGGCUGGCCUGGAACUCAGAAAUCUGCCUGCUUCUGCCUCCCUAGUGCUGGGAUUAAAGGCGUGCGCCACCACACCGGGCUGUCACUCACAUCCUUAAGUCACCUUCCCUACCAACUUUAGCUUCUCUCUCACCCAUGUAUUGAAGAGUGCCGCAGAUAGUGUAGGCUCGUGCUCCCUGGGAUAGGUGGCGAGACAGACCAAAGUCUGUCACUUUCAGAUGGCCUACGAAGUAAGGAAACUAUGUUCAACCCAUGUUUGUUUGUUUGUUUUUUGUUUCACUUUGGUUUUGUUUUUUAAGAGGUACCACUUGUCCUGGGGCUAAAGAAGGAAAAGACAUACCUCGUUCAUCCAGCAGGAUAUUCUCCAUCUGAAAUCAUGGGCAAGAGGACAUUAUCUUACUUUUUCCUUUGGCUCUGAUUUGGUUUUUCAUUGUUGUUAUUUUUGACAUAGGGUGUUACUGUGUAGCUCAGGCCAGCUGGGAAUUUUAUAUACCAGCCUCACAUAUGGCACUCCUCCUGCCUCCCAACAGUGCUGGGGAAUAGACAUGUAUGACCACACCUGGCAUUCUUUCCCGUAGAGCUGCUAGCUGGAGAAGGUAGUCUACUCAGCACUCAAGCCUAUACUUGGAGGACCCACACCCAAAUCCUUCGCAUCCAUAGGAACCCAAAUAACCGUCUCUGCUUCCUACUGCCUUCUCAGAUCUGUGGAAACUUCUUGAGAUCCUUGCUCAACUUAAGAGAAAAGACUUAACUCUACCUUUACAUCACGGUGGAUGAUACCCAAGUCGUGGAGAUAGCCUGUGGAGAACAGUGGGCAUGGGUGUGUCUGCCAGUUUCUUUGUAGCCCCUAUCUCUCCUCUAUCCUGACUUCCAAAAUUAAAUAUUAAUUCUGUUUCUCCUCCCCACU